CUUAGAGUGAGCUCCAGCUUGUUGCUUGCAGCCAUUCAUUCAGGAAGUCUACUCUUUAAAUAUGCCAGUGAGCUUCUGAACCAAGAAACUAGCUCCCACAAAGCAGAAUGCUGAUGAAGUUAGAAGGGACCUUUUAACUCUUAAAAGUGUUAGAGUCAAAAGCAGUAGGCUAAAACCAGGCCAAAGCUGAAGCAGUCAAUAGCUACAGUGACCAUUCUGCAGUGGUUUUGGUCCCUUGGACACAACUGAGUUCAGCCACCAGUCUAAAGAUUCCUACAGAGCAAAGCCAGCACCAGUAGAACAUAUUGCUAUCUUAAGCUGCAUCCCUAGCAAAUAUGUUAUACAUUAACCUACUGUGUCUGUCCUAGGGGUUAUCUCCUACUAGCCUGAAACCAAAGGACAUGAAGCAAUGAAAGAGGUGUGUCCUCAUUUUGUCUGUCUUGGACUUGCACAAUCAAAAGCAGGGGACUGGCUCAGACAGGCGUGAAGGCUGUCACUCCACUGGUUUUGAGUGUAAGAGAAGGGAAAACAGAGCCAGGUGCAGAGGAAAGUAAAGAGACAGACAAUCCCUCACAUGCAUUUUAAAGAGUUUAGAUGCUAUCUUUUUGGUGACAAGGAAGAUGUUAUAAAUUGUGUUUUCCAGAAUUAUGUGACUAUCUGUUCCAUACACCACCACGGAGCUUCAACAGCAUCCCAUGAAAAUAAAUCCUAAAGGAACUUUAGGACAAGAUAUUUUCAUCCAAUAUCACCUGUAAGGAGGGUUUCUUCAAGCCAGCUGUCAGGUAAAGUCCAUUGCAAGAGACACAGCCUAAAUAUUCAGAGACUCUAACUGGCCAUAGUGAGAGGGUGAAUUCUGCCUGCUCUGUCAAAAACACAAGGGCAUGCAAAAAUACACUUAAAAAUGUCAUCUCCUUUGAAGAGAUGCUCCUGUAACCUUAACAGAGAUGACCAGCUAGUGUAUGAUGGCAUUGAUAUACUGAACAGCAGGAAAAGAGUAUAUACCUGUGAGAUUCAUAAGAAUUCAGAAAAUAGCAAGUGAGGAAGAGGCAUAACUAAAAGACAGUGGCCAAAGAAACCAAUAUUUGAAUUCUGUGAAAUAACACACAGACUGUGAUGAAUUUGUCUCAUUCUUUCUACAUGCUAGCAAAUGCUCUGGAAGAAAUCAAGUCCAAGGAAACAGGGUUUGAGGCAGUUGUUAAAGAUGUGCUCUUUUUUGCCUACCUACAAAUCUGUUCCCCGGAAGUUAGAGAUUAACUAAACAUAGGAUUUCUAAGUGGUAAAGUGAGAUCAUAUUUGAAAAGUCACGGCAGUCUGGUGAAGUUUGCACAGGUUGGAAAAGGGGAAACAUAACUCCCAUUUUCAAGAAGGGGAAAAAAAGGAAAGAUCCAGGAAACUACAGGCCAGUUAGUCUCACCUCUGUUCCUGGCAAGAUAAUGGAGCAGAUCCUCCUGAAGAUCUUACUAAGGUAAAUGGAAAAUAACAGUGAGGUGAUCAGAGGAAACCAACAUGGCCCCACCAAGGGCAAGUCUUCCCUGACAAACUUGGUGGCCUUUUAUGACAGAGUUACAGCAUCAGUGAAUAACAGAAGAGCAACUGGCAUCAUCUACCUAGAUUUGUGCAAAGUGUUUGACACUGUCCCACAUGACAUCCUGGUUGUCAAAUCGGAGAAGAAAUUGAUUUGAUGGAUGACCCACUUGUUGGAUGAGGAAUUGGCUGGAUGGUCACACUCAGAGAGUUGCAAUCAACAGCUCAAUGUCUAAGUGCAGACCGGUGACAAGUGGUAUUCCUCAGGGAUUGGUGCUGGGACCAGUAUUAUUUAACAUCUUUGUAGGCAAUGUGGACAAUGGGAUCGAGUGAACCCUCAGCAAAUCUGCAGAUGAUACCAAGCUGAGUGCUGCAGUUGACAUGCUAGAGGGAAGGUAUGCUCUCCAAAGGGACCUGGACAAACUCGAGAGGUGGGCUCAUGCCAAUCUCAUGAAGUUCAACAAGACCAAGUGCAAGGUCCUGCACCUGGGUUAGGGCAAUCUCAAGCACAGAUACAGGCUGGGUGGAGAAUGGCUCGAGAGCAGCCCUGAGGAGAAGGAUUUGGGAGUGUCAAUUGAUGAAAGAAAACAUGAGCCAGCAAUGUGCACUUGCAGCCCAAAGGCCAACCAUAUCCUGGGUUGCAUCAAGAGAAGUGUGACCAGCAGGUUGAGGGAGGUUAUUCUGCCCCUCUACUCUGCUCUCACGAGACCCCACCCUGGGUAUUGCAUCCAGUUCUUGGCCCCCCACCACAAGAAGGACACGGAGCUGUUGGAGCAGGUCCAGAAGAGGGCCACGAAGAUGAUCAGAGGGCUGGAGCACCUCAGCGGUGGGGAUAGGCUGAGAGAACUGGGGUUCUUCAGCCCAGAGAAGAGAAGGUUCCGGCAGGACCUGAUAGUGGCCUGCCAGUACCUGAAAGGAGCCCAUGAGAAAGAUGGGGAGGGACUUUUUAUAAGGGCAUGUAGGGAUAGGAUGAGGGAAAAUGUUGUUAAACUGGAAGAAGGUAGAUUUAGACUAGAUAAUAGAAAUAAAUUCUUUACUGUCAGGGUGGUGAGACAUUGGAACAGGUUAUCCAGUGAGGUUGUGGAUGCUGUGAGCAACCUGGUCUAGUGGGAGGCAUCUCUGCCUACAGCAGAGGGGUUGGAACUAGAUGAUCUUAAAGGUCCCUUCCAACCCAAACCAUUUUGUGAUUCUAUUUUAGCAAUGAAAUAAAAUAUUCCAUUAUUAAAUAAGUAUCUUUUAAAAAUCAGAAUUCUGGUGUGAAAACUCCAAACUUAAUCUGCUUACCUUUGCAGAAGACAACAGUGGUACUUUGUGCAUAAAGUAACCAUAUGCAGUCACAUUAGAAAUAGAAAAGAUUUUGGAAAUAUGUGAAAUACAUUUCUCCUCUGUAAGUUUAAAAGGUCUGCUUCUUUGAACAGUGUUACCUUCUACAAUAAGCAAUUAUGUUAAUCAAUGUAUUUUAUUAUUAAUUUAGGGGAUGAUAUUAACAAAUAAAAAGUUCAACC
ensembl:lncRNA